AAUCAACGCUGGCGGCGUGCCUAACACAUGCAAGUCGAACGCGAAAGUCCCGCAAGGGAUUAGUAGAGUGGCAAACGGGUGAGUAACACGUGGGUGACCUGCCUUCGAGUGGGGGAGUAACGUCCCGAAAGGGACGCUAAUACCGCAUAACAUCCUGCCUUUGAAGAGGUGGAGAUCAAAGCUGGGGACCGCAAGGCCUGGCGCUGGAAGAGGGGCCCGCGUCUGAUUAGCAGUUGGUGAGGUAACGGCUCACCAAGGCAACGAUCAGUAUCCGGCCUGAGAGGGCGGACGGACACACUGGGACUGAGACACGGCCCAGACUCCUACGGGAGGCAGCAGUGGGAAUUGUUCGCAAUGGGCGCAAGCCUGACGACGCAACGCCGCGUGGAGGAUGAAGACC
rnacentral:rRNA from 1 species